ensembl:miRNA
ACGGAAGCCUGCACCCAUUUAACACCAGCACGCUCAACGUAGUCUUGUAAGGAACAGGUUGAAGUGUGCCGUGGUGUGUCUGGAGGAAGCGCCUGU